UGGGGAAUCUUGGACAAUGGGGGGAACCCUGAUCCAGCGAUGCCGUGUGGGUGAAGAAGGCCUUCGGGUUGUAAAGCCCUUUAGGUUAGGAAGAAGCAGUGGAGACACUGUUGACGGUACUAACAGAAUAAGCACCGGCAAACUCUGUGCCAGCAGCCGCGGUAAUACAGAGGGUGCGAGCGUUAAUCGGAAUGACUGGGCGUAAAGGGCGCGUAGGCGGUAGAGAGGGUGUGAUGUGAAAGCCCUGGGCUUAACCUGGGAAGGGCAUCGCAAACUGUUCUGCUAGAGUAGAUGAGAGGGUGGCGGAAUUUCCGGAGUAGCGGUGAAAUGCGUAGAUAUCGGAAGGAACGUCGAUGGCGAAGGCAGCCACCUGGUGUCAUACUGACGCUGAGGCGCGAAA
rnacentral:rRNA from 1 species